ACCAGCGCUGCACUCGAUCAU
rnacentral:miRNA from 1 species